rnacentral:misc_RNA from 1 species
CACCCCCUCCAGCUGCCGUUGUGUGGCUGCGGUGUUGGGGCUCGUCGCGAUGCGGCGGCCCUUAAAGACAGUGGCGGUCCCGGCGUGGGCUCUACGCGUAGUAACUUGCUUCUCGCGACAGAGUGACGCCUGGUGGCUUGCCAGAACAACCCCUAUUGGGUCCAGUCACAUGGAUCACA